UACGAAGGGUGCAAGCGUUACUCGGAAUUACUGGGCGUAAAGCGUGCGUAGGUGGUCGUUUAAGUCUGUUGUGAAAGCCCUGGGCUCAACCUGGGAACUGCAGUGGAAACUGGACGACUAGAGUGUGGUAGAGGGUAGCGGAAUUCCCGGUGUAGCAGUGAAAUGCGUAGAGAUCGGGAGGAACAUCCAUGGCGAAGGCAGCUACCUGGACCAACACUGACACUGAGGCGCGAAAGCGUGGGGAGCGAACAGG
rnacentral:rRNA from 1 species